UAAGACUAUUGCAUCUGUUGGCAAGGAGACCAGGGCCACAAAAUCUGGCGUCCCCGGUCUCCCCGUGCAGCGGAUCCAGGUCGCUAGA
rnacentral:pre_miRNA from 1 species